GACGAACGCUGGCGGCGUGCUUAACACAUGCAAGUCGAGCGGAAAGGCCCUUUCGGGGGUACUCGAGCGGCGAACGGGUGAGUAACACGUGAGUAACCUGCCCCAGUCUUUGGGAUAACCCUCGGGAAACGGGGGCUAAUACCGGAUAUGACCUGGUCUCGCAUGGGAUCGGGUGGAAAGUUUUUUCGGUCUGGGAUGGGCUCGCGGCCUAUCAGCUUG
rnacentral:rRNA from 1 species